CGCACUCAAGUGAGGAAUGGGGAAGGAGGGUGGAGGAAGGAGCUUGUAAAUGAGCAGCUGGUUUGCAGCAAAACCGCACCUCACUCUGCACCUUUGGAUCCCUCUCAGCCUGAGGUUAGCACAGCCAAUGUCCUCACCAGCGUCUGCCAAAGCCCAUGGAGAAGGCCAGCAGGAGCAUAUCACUGUGACUUACAACCCUUCUCUAGUCUGCUACAAUGGAAUCUUAAACAAGAAAAUUUUAUAUUUUGACUUGCAUCAUUGAGAAAAACACUGCCAACCUGAUCGUGGUUCCUUUGAAGAAUCACUGCAGCAGGUGCGAGAGAGGACUCAUGGAGCUUGCAGAUGAGCUAGCCCAGGAGUGUUACCCGUGAUGCCAGGUGCAGGUGAAAGAAGUUGGAAUUGAAAAGAGCAGCAAAAAAUGUACUGCUUUUUAGUGCAUAAGAUCAUGAAAAUAUUGCACUGUGAGGGGAAAAGGUUGGUUUUCAGAGUUGGACUCUGUUGUCACCAAGAGAAGCACCAAGAAAGGGUGUGGAUAACUUACAGUCUGCUCAUUAUAGUCAUCUUAGCAAAGUAUAUUUUUCAAAUAAUUUUGCAUAAUCUUUCAACAGGCUUAUUCUUGUCAUAUUUUGUCAUUUCUCUCACCCACAUCAUCUUAAUAUUGUAAGCCUUAUAUUCCUCCAAAUAACCUAUAUGUUAUCUUUGAACUGAAAUGAACUAUUAGGGAGCUGCACAUUAACAGCUCUAUUCCUGCUCCAUCUCUUUUUUUUCUACAAUAAGCAUUUAUUUAUUCUUUAAAUUUUUUUUUAAUUUUAUCCAUCUCCUCUAGGAUUUCUAGUUUAUCCUCUUUGCCUAUAGGUUUUUGGGGAACCAGGUGGUACUUGAUUACAUGAGUAAGUUCCUUAGUGGUGAUUUGUGAGAUUUUG
rnacentral:lncRNA from 1 species